GAUGAAGGAACGUAGCGAAAUGCGAUACGUAAUGUGAAUUGCAAAUUCAGUGAAUCAUCGAGUCUUUGAACGCACAUUGCGCCCCCUGGUAUUCCGGGGGGCAUGCCUGUCCGAGCGUCAUUGCUGCCCUCAAGCACGGCUUGUGUGUUGGGCCCCGUCCUCCGAUCCCGGGGGACGGGCCCGAAAGGCAGCGGCGGCACCGCGUCCGGUCCUCGAGCGUAUGGGGCUUUGUCACCCGCUCUGUAGGCCCGGCCGGCGCUUGCCGAUCAACCCAAAUUUUUAUCCAGGUUGACCUCGGAUCAGGUAGGGAUACCCGCUGAACUUAAGCAUAUCAAUAAGCGGAGGA
rnacentral:misc_RNA from 1 species